GUGCCAGCCGCCGCGGUAAUACGUAGGGGGCGAACGUUGCUCGGAAUUACUGGGCGUAAAGGGUGUGUAGGUGGCUGAGCAAGUCGAAGAUGAAAUCCCAGGGCUCAACCCUGGAAUUGUCUUCGAUACUGUUCAGCUUGAGGGUGGUCGAGGAAGACGGAAUUCCCGGUGGAGCGGUGAAAUGCGUAGAUAUCGGGAGGAACGCCAGAGGCGAAGGCGGCUCCCUAGCCCGGUACUGACGCUGAGGCACGAAAGCGUGGGGAGCGAACGGGAUUAGAUACCCCGGUAGUUCACGCCCUAAACGAUGGAUGCUAGGUGUUGGAUCCGAGAGGAUUCAGCGCCGAAGCUAACGCGUUAAGCAUCCCGCCUGGGGACUACGGCCGCAAGGCUGAAACUUAAAUGAAUUGACGGGG
rnacentral:rRNA from 1 species